rnacentral:rRNA from 1 species
AUCCUGGCUUAGGAUGAACGCUGGCGGCGUGCUUAACACAUGCAAGUCGAACGAAGCAUUCCGUAACCCUCGGGGGAGGGAAUGACUGAGUGGCGGACGGGUGAGUAACGCGUGGGUAACCUGCCUUAUACAGGGGGAUAACAGUUAGAAAUGACUGCUAAUACCGCAUAACCCGCUAGUACCGCAUGGUACAGACGGAAAAGAUUUAUCGGUAUAAGAUGGACCCGCGUCUGAUUAGCUAGUUGGUGAGGUAACGGCCCACCAAGGCGACGAUCAGUAGCCGGCUUGAGAGAGUGAACGGCCACAUUGGGACUGAGACACGGCCCAAACUCCUACGGGAGGCAGCAGUGGGGAAUAUUGCACAAUGGGGGAAACCCUGAAUGCAGCAACGCCGCGUGAAGGAAGAAGUAUUUCGGUAUGUAAACUUCUAUCAGCAGGAAAGAAAAUGACGGUACCUGACUAAGAAGCCCCGGCUAACUACGUGCCAGCAGCAGC